CCUACGGGAGGCAGCAGUGAGGAAUAUUGGUCAAUGGACGAGAGUCUGAACCAGCCAAGUAGCGUGAAGGAUGACUGCCCUAUGGGUUGUAAACUUCUUUUAUAUGGGAAUAAAAUGUUCCACGUGUGGGAUUUUGUAUGUACCAUAUGAAUAAGGAUCGGCUAACUCCGUGCCAGCAGCCGCGGUAAUACGGAGGAUCCGAGCGUUAUCCGGAUUUAUUGGGUUUAAAGGGAGCGUAGGUGGAUUGUUAAGUGAGUUGUGAAAGUUUGCGGCUCAACCGUAAAAUUGCAGUUGAAACUGGCAGUCGUGAGUGCAGUAGAGGUGAGCGGAAUUCGUGGUGUAGCGGUGAAAUGCUUAGAUAUCACGAAGAACUCCGAUUGCGAAGGCAGCUCACUGGACUGCAACUGACACUGAGGCUCGAAAGUGUGGGUAUCAAACAGGAUUAGAUACCCGGGUAGUC
rnacentral:rRNA from 1 species